UACGUAGGUGGCAAGCGUUGUCCGGAUUUAUUGGGCGUAAAGAGCGUGUAGGCGGUUUGGUAGGUCCGCUGUGAAAACUCGAGGCUCAACCUCGAGACGCCGGUGGAAACCAUCAGACUAGAGUCCGGAAGAGGAGAGUGGAAUUCCGUGGUGUAGCGGUGAAAUGCGCAGAUAUCAGGAAGAACACCCGUGGCUAAGGCGGCUCUCUAGUACGGUACUGACGCUGAGACGCGAAAGCGUGGGAGCGAACAGG
rnacentral:rRNA from 1 species